rnacentral:rRNA from 1 species
AGUGAACGCUGGCGGUAGGCCUAACACAUGCAAGUCGAACGGCAGCACAGUAAGAGCUUGCUCUUACGGGUGGCGAGUGGCGGACGGGUGAGGAAUACAUCGGAAUCUACUUUUUCGUGGGGGAUAACGUAGGGAAACUUACGCUAAUACCGCAUACGACCUACGGGUGAAAGCAGGGGAUCUUCGGACCUUGCGCGAUUGAAUGAGCCGAUGUCGGAUUAGCUAGUUGGCGGGGUAAAGGCACACCAAGGCGACGAUCCGUAGCUGGUCUGAGAGGAUGAUCAGCCACACUGGAACUGAGACACGGUCCAGACUCCUACGGGAGGCAGCAGUGGGGAAUAUUGGACAAAGGGCGCAAGCCUGAUCGAGCAAUGCCGCGUGAGUGAAGAAGGCCUUCGGGUUGUAAAGCCCUUUUGUUAGGAAAGAAAAGCAGCAGGAGAAUACCCCGCUGUUCUGACGGUACCCAAAGAGUAAGCACCGGCUAACUUCGUG